rnacentral:tRNA from 1 species
GCGGGUAUAGCUCAAAGGGAGAGCUACUGCCUUCCAAGCAGAAGAUGCGAGUUCGAGCCUCGCUAUCCGCUCCA